rnacentral:tRNA from 1 species
GGACAAAUGGGAGAGUGGUUGAAUCCAGUCGCCUGGAACGCGGCCGUAGUGAAAGCUACCGAGGGUUCGAAUCCCUCUUUGUCCACCA